UGUGUAUUUAUGUAAAUUUAUUAACGUCACUGUUUAUGCAACUCCUAAACAACUGGGUGUUUCUGUUGAGGGCAGUAGUAUUAUUGAUAAUAAAUCCAGGGAUCGUCUUAUUAGUCAAAGCAGCGGUAAAUUAUUGAUUGACGAGGGUGAAAGCUUUAUUAUUAUUUUUUUUUUUACACGCGAGGGAAUACGUCGUAAAUAUUUAAUGUCCGCAUAGCUGUUGUAUGAAUAUUUCUAAAGUAGGUAGGACUUUCUGCGGUUGGAGGAGAGGCUUGGCUAAUGUGGAGCGAACCUUGGGCGGGGUUUACCGUUACGCAUUUGGUGUGACUUUUCUUGAAAUAAGGCUAGUACUUUCAAAUGUUUCUUGGUAGCAGUAGCUGGUGGGAAAGCGGAGUUUAAGUGAAAGGCGAAUUACAGUCGUUAUUUAUCGCAUCCGUGUAUUUCAACAUCAAACCAGAUUUUACCCCAACUAAAACUCAUUGCCUAGAAAUGACACUGGAUGCCAGGAAAGAAGAAAUUUGGGGAAAGAGAAAAUUUAACCAGAAAAGAAGGAAGAAAAACUCUUGUCUGGGGAGAAUAUUUGAGCUGUUCAGCAGGAAGCCAUCUAUGUUUCAAACUUGGUACAGGGAAUGACUUAAAGUAAUUUUAGAGGACUAAAGUAUUUCACAGUUUCUCUCAUUUUAAAUAUGGGCACUUGUUUAAAGUCACAAAAGGUUAGAUGAAGCUUUACCCAUUCAGAUGAUGAACUUGUAAAGCUGCUAAAGUUGAAAUAAAGAAAAGACUAGCUGAGCAGGAAUCUUCACAAGAAGAGUGGUUUCAAAAGAAGUUGUGGAGUACUAUGAUUUAUCCCAGAUAAAAAUCACUUUAGCUAGGAGAUCUAAGUGAUUCCUUCUGAUGCCCUACCUGUGGAAAGAAUAAAGAUGACUUGUUGGAAGCUUUAAGUAGUUUAUUUAGUUAAGGUUGUAGAGGGAUGGGUGAGUGUUCUUGUUCUAAUACAUUAUGUUCAACAUGUCUGAUUGCAGACAGUGGCGGGAGUGUACAGAGUAGCUGAUUGGGGGAAAAUUUGAAAGAUGGAAAAACCAAGGAGCUAAUCCCAAAGCUUGGAGUGUAGUCCCUUAUUUGAAUAUUCCCAAAGGCCCUGUGAGGGUCUACCAACUCAGCUGCCAAUGAAACCUUAUUCUUUGUUAAAAGAUGUUCAUUUUUUUAACAAACAAAAGUGAGUUACUGCUAUAAAACUGUAUUAAAAUAUGCCUGAGCUUUGAUCAGGUCCAUCUAA